UGGUCACAUCAUGUUGAAACACCAGUUCCCAUAAGAUCAUUGAAGUUAAGCAACAUCGAGUUUGGUCAGUACCUAGAUGAGUGACUGCUUGGAAAUACCAGGUACUGUAAG